rnacentral:rRNA from 1 species
CACGCCGUAAACGAUGAGCACUAAGUGUCGGGCGAGAGCUCGGUGCUGAAGUUAACGCAUUAAGUGCUCCGCCUGGGGAGUACGGUCGCAAGACUGAAACUCAAAGGAAUUGACGGGGACUCGCACAAGCGGUGGAGCAUGUGGUUUAAUUCGACGCAACGCGAAAAACCUUACCAGGUCUUGACAUCCCUCUGACGUCACUAGAGAUAGUGAUUCCCUUCGGGGCAGAGGUGACAGGUGG